rnacentral:rRNA from 1 species
GCGAGAAGCCCGCAAGGGUGAGUAAAGCGGCGCACGGGUGAGUAACACGUGGGUAAUCUUCCUUGGAGCCCGGAAUAACUCCCCGAAAGGGGUGCUAAUGCCGGAUGAGACCACGGGAUCUCCGGAUCCUGAGGGAAAAGGCGGCCUCUGUACACAAGCUGUCACUCCAAGAUGAGCCCGCGGCCCAUCAGCUAGUUGGCGGGGUAAUGGCCCACCAAGGCAUCGACGGGUAGCUGGUCUGAGAGGACGAUCAGCCACACUGGAACUGAGACACGGUCCAGACUCCUACGGGAGGCAGCAGUGGGGAAUUUUGCGCAAUGGGCGAAAGCCUGACGCAGCAACGCCGCGUGUGUGAUGAAGGUCUUCGGAUCGUAAAGCACUGUCGGGAGGGACGAAUAAGGCGGCGGCUAAUAUCCGCAGCCGAUGACGGUACCUCCAAAGGAAGCACCGGCUAACUCUGUGCCAGCAGCCGCGGUAAUACAGAGGGUGCAAGCGUUGUUCGGAAUUAUUGGGCGUAAAGCGCGUGUAGGCGGCCUUGCAAGUUGGGUGUGAAAGCCCUCGGCUUAACCGAGGAAGUGCGCCCAAAACUACAGGGCUUGAGUACCGGAGAGGGUGGCGGAAUUCCCGGUGUAGAGGUGAAAUUCGUAGAUAUCGGGAGGAACACCAGUGGCGAAGGCGGCCACCUGGACGGAUACUGACGC